GACGAACGCUGGCGGCGUGCUUAACACAUGCAAGUCGAGCGGUAAGGCCCUUUCGGGGGUACGACGAGCGGCGAACGGGUAGAGUAACACGUGGGUGACCUGCCCUCAGCUCUGGGAGUAAGCCUGGGAAACGUGGGUCGUAAUACCGGAUAUGACUCCAUGACGCAUGUUGUGGGGUGGAAAGCCUUGUGCGGCUGAGGAUGGGCCCGCGGCCUAUCAGCUUGUUGGUGGGGUGAGGCCUACCAAGGCGACGACGGGUAGCCGGCCUGAGAGGGCGACCGGCCACACUGGGACUGAGACACGGCCCAGACUCCUACGGGAGGCAGCAGUGGGGAAGUCUUGCGCAAUGGGCGAAAGCCUGACGCAGCGACGCCGCGUGAGGGAUGACGGCCUCGGUGUAAC
rnacentral:rRNA from 1 species